rnacentral:lncRNA from 1 species
GGGGGCGGAGCCCUCGCUGCACCCCCUCUUUCUCCCGGCGCUCCUCCUCCGCAUCCCUCACCCCUCGUCCCUCCCCCACGCGCCGGGAUCGGACAGACAGGGUUCUCAAGGAUGUGGUGAAAACCUGCAUGUGUUUCCUGUCCGUACUCCAACGAUAUAUACAUGUAUCCUGUCACAUAAUGAAGGAUGCACCUUGCCACCAUAAUGUCUACAGUUAAAGAAGCCUGAAGUGAAAGUCAGUUAAAGGUCAUUCCCACCACAACUCUGCAAGGCAAGACUGAAUCCUCCUUGGUUUUCUACUUGGCUGCAGUGGCUGGAGGAGGGGUUUUCCUUUGCCCUGAUGAGUCCCAGAUGGCACCAGUUACACCAGUGGCACUCAACAAAUCUAUGCAGAAUGAAAGAAAAAACAACUUGGAUACAGUCAGAGCCUAAAACCCUAAAACUGGGUGUCACAGACUUUAAGAAGAAGUUUCAGCUUUCACAGAGCCCACCUCCCCAAGGGGAAAACCCUGGAAGCAGGAAUGGCACAAAAGGCUCCCUCCCUCAAUUUUCAUUAUUUAAAAACUACAAGAAAUUGCUGUCAAGGGAAGGCAGAAGCUCCUAUCUAUCUUCUGGGAAAUGCUUUCUUUAUCAUGUAGAUAAACACAUUCAAGAUACACAAAGCAAUGA